GGUUUUAACCCAGUAUCUCAAGA
rnacentral:misc_RNA from 1 species